rnacentral:rRNA from 1 species
GACGAACGCUGGCGGCGUGCUUAACACAUGCAAGUCGAACGGAAAGGCCCCCUUGUGGGGUACUCGAGUGGCGAACGGGUGAGUAACACGUGAGUAACCUACCCUUGACUUUGGGAUAACUUCAGGAAACUGGGGCUAAUACCGGAUAGGAGCUCCUGCUGCAUGGUGGGGGUUGGAAAGUUUCGGCGGUUGGGGAUGGACUCGCGGCUUAUCAGCUUGUUGGUGGGGUAGUGGCUCACCAAGGCUUUGACGGGUAGCCGGCCUGAGAGGGGGACCGGCCACAUUGGGACUGAGAUCCGGCCCAGACUCCUACGGGAGGCAGCAGUGGGGAAUAUUGCACAAUGGGCGGAAGCCUGAUGCAGCAACGCCGCGUGCGGGAUGACGGCCUUCGGGUUGUAAACCGCUUUCGCCUGUGACGAAGCGUGAGUGACGGUAAUGGGUAAAGAAGCACCGGCUAACUACGUG